AUUGAACGCUGGCGGCAUGCCUUACACAUGCAAGUCGAACGGCAGCACGGGUGCUUGCACCUGGUGGCGAGUGGCGAACGGGUGAGUAAUAUAUCGGAACGUACCUUAUUGUGGGGGAUAACGCAGCGAAAGCUGUGCUAAUACCGCAUAAUCCCUAAGGGGGAAAGCGGGGGACCGUAAGGCCUCGCGCAAUUAGAGCGGCCGAUACCUGAUUAGCUAGUUGGUGAGGUAAAGGCUAACCAAGGCAACGAUCAGUAGCUGGUCUGAGAGGACGAUCAGCCACACUGGGACUGAGACACGGCCCAGACUCCUACGGGAGGCAGCAGUGGGGAAUUUUGGACAAUGGGGGCAACCCUGAUCCAGCAAUGCCGCGUGAGUGAAGAAGGCCUUCGGGUUGUAAAGCUCUUUUGUCAGGGAAGAAACAGCAGCUCUAACACAGUUUGCGAAUGACGGUACCUGAAGAAUAAGCACCAGCUAACUACGUGCCAGCCGCCGCCGUAACAC
rnacentral:rRNA from 1 species